UUGUGGUGGCUGCCGAGGUUCCUCAGGAAGGCAGAAUGGUGCACUUGGUGGGGCCGUGGCUCCUGGCCUUGUCCUUGGCCACGGGACCAGGAGGCCUGUGGGCGCAGUGGAGGUUAACGGAGGCUGGUGGAGGACUGCAAGCACCCGGGGAUUCCGUGCUCCUCUCCUGCCAUGGGUCUGGCUUCCCCUUCAAAAAUUAUGGAGUUUGGUGGUACCGCCAGGCACCUGGUGCCAGACUCGAGUGGGUGGCUGCUAUUAGGUAUGAUUCCACCAUCAUUAAAUACGGGCAGUCAGUGCAGGGUCGAGCCACAGUUUCCCGAGACAAUUCCCGGUCCGAGGCAUAUCUGUCCCUGCAUGCCCUGCACGCCCACGACUCUGCCCGCUACUUCUGUGCUAUUGACACAAAGACAGGAAAUGCAGCUGAGCUUGAACAAAAACAUGCUGGGGCCCAGGACAGGGUGCAUGAGGUUUGGAUCAGCCGAGUGCUGAGGUGGCUCAGGGCUCUUCGCCAAGGUUUUCCUGACAUUUCUCCAAGAGCUCCUUUCCCAGAACUGCCAUUUUCCCACUGUUCAGUCCCACAUUCUCUGCUUUAUCCCGUGGAGGUGGUUCAAUGAGUUUCAGUCACCCAAGCAGCCUGACCACCCAGCCUGCCUGAAGACCCUCUCUGCCUUCCCUUGGUCGCCUUCUUCCCUAGCGACCAUGAAACCUGGGCUUCAGGGACAAGAAUGACUCAUGGGGUUGUUCCUUGUGCCAGUGACAGCAAAGCCCUGAGAGAACAGCCCUUCUUUUGAACCAGGUGCAUUUCAGGGUGCUCACCAUCUCUCACGCUUACCUACCCUUGCAUGCCCGCACCCCCAGCACUCUGCUCACUACUUCUGCGUCAUUCGCAUGGGGAUGGGAAAUGCAGCUGAGCUUGAGCAGAAACCAGCUGGGGCCCAGCACAGGGUGUAUGGGGUUUGGAUCCAGUGAGUGCUAAGGUGGCUCACCAAAGGUGAAAGAUGACAUCACUGCACAGUGCAGAUGGUCCUGGUCUUUCUGCAAGAACUCCUUUCCCAACACUGCCAAUUUCCAUCUUCUUAUUCCAUGUUCUCUGUCUGCAGAGCUGUGGGCAGAGCCAAAAGUGA